AACGAACGCUGGCGGCAUGCCUAACACAUGCAAGUCGAACGAGACCUUCGGGUCUAGUGGCGCACGGGUGCGUAACGCGUGGGAACCUGCCCUUAGGUUCGGAAUAACUCCCCGAAAGGGGUGCUAAUACCGGAUAAUGUCUUCGGACCAAAGAUUUAUCGCCUUUGGAUGGGCCCGCGUUGGAUUAGCUAGUUGGUAGGGUAAAAGCCUACCAAGGCGACGAUCCAUAGCUGGUCUGAGAGGAUGAUCAGCCACACUGGGACUGAGACACGGCCCAGACUCCUACGGGAGGCAGCAGUGGGGAAUAUUGGACAAUGGGCGAAAGCCUGAUCCAGCAAUGCCGCGUGAGUGAUGAAGGCCUUAGGGUUGUAAAGCUCUAUUACCCGGGAUGAUAAUGACAGUACCGGGAGAAUAAGCGCCGGCUAACUCCGUG
rnacentral:rRNA from 1 species